rnacentral:rRNA from 1 species
UACACUCCUACGGGAGGCAGCAGUGAGGAAUAUUGGACAAUGGGUGGAAGCCUGAUCCAGCCAUCCCGCGUGCAGGAAGACGGCCCUAUGGGUUGUAAACUGCUUUUAUCUGGGGAUAAACCUACUUACGUGUAAGUAGCUGAAGGUACCAGAAGAAUAAGCACCGGCUAACUCCGUGCCAGCAGCCGCGGUAAUACGGAGGGUGCAAGCGUUAUCCGGAUUUAUUGGGUUUAAAGGGUCCGUAGGCGGACUGAUAAGUCAGUGGUGAAAUCCGACAGCUUAACUGUCGAACUGCCAUUGAUACUGUUAGUCUUGAGUAAGGUUGAAGUGGCUGGAAUAAGUAGUGUAGCGGUGAAAUGCAUAGAUAUUACGUAGAACACCAAUUGCGAAGGCAGGUCACUAAGUCUUAACUGACGCUGAUGGACGAAAGCGUGGGGAGCGAACAGGAUUAGAAACCCCUGUAGUCCC